rnacentral:rRNA from 1 species
UGGGGAAUUUUGGACAAUGGGCGAAAGCCUGAUCCAGCAAUGCCGCGUGUGUGAAGAAGGCCUUCGGGUUGUAAAGCACUUUUGUCCGGAAAGAAAUCCUUGGCUCUAAUACAGUCGGGGGAUGACGGUACCGGAAGAAUAAGCACCGGCUAACUACGUGCCAGCAGCCGCGGUAAUACGUAGGGUGCAAGCGUUAAUCGGAAUUACUGGGCGUAAAGCGUGCGCAGGCGGUUUGCUAAGACCGAUGUGAAAUCCCCGGGCGUCAACCUGGGAACUGCAUUGGUGACUGGCAGGCUAGAGUAUGGCAGAGGGGGUGAGAAUUCCACGUGUAGCAGUGAAAUGCGUAGAGAUGUGGAGGAAUACCGAUGGCGAAGGCAGCCCCUCGGC